rnacentral:rRNA from 1 species
CCACCGGCGGACGGCUCAGUAACACGUCGGUAACCUACCCUCGGGAGGGGGAUAACCCCGGGAAACUGGGGCUAAUUCCCCAUAGGCCUGAGGUACUGGAAGGUCCUCAGGCCGAAAGGGACUUAUGUCCGCCCGAGGAUGGGCCGGCGGCCGAUUAGGUAGUUGGUGGGGUAAUGGCCCACCAAGCCGAAGAUCGGUACGGGCUGUGAGAGCAGGAGCCCGGAGAUGGACACUGAGACACGGGUCCAGGCCCUACGGGGCGCAGCAGGCGCGAAACCUCCGCAAUGCGGGAAACCGCGACGGGGGGACCCCGAGUGCCGUGGCAACGCCACGGCUUUUCCGGAGUGUAAAAAGCUCCGGGAAUAAGGGCUGGGCAAGGCCGGUGGCAGCCGCCGCGGUAAUACCGGCGGCCCGAGUGGUGGCCGCUAUUAUUGGGCCUAAAGCGUCCGUAGCCGGGCCCGUAAGUCCCUGGCGAAAUCCCACGGCUCAACCGUGGGGCUUGCUGGGGAUACUGCGGGUCUUGGGACCGGGAGAGGCGGGGGGUACCCCUGGUGUAGGGGUGAAAUCCUAUAUUCCCAGGGGGGACCGCCAGUGGCGACA